GGGCCUGUAGCUCAGUUGGCUAGAGCGCAGCAUUCGCAUUGCUGAGGUCAGGGGUUCAACUCCCCUCAGGUCCACCA
rnacentral:tRNA from 1 species